UCAGCCUCGAGUUUGACCAGCAGCAGGGGUCGGUGUGUCCCUCUGAAUCUGAGAUCUAUGAGGCAGGAGCUGAGGACAGGAUGGCAGGAGCGCCCAUGGCUGCUGCUGUACAGCCUGCUGAGGUGACUGUUGAAGUUGGUGAGGACCUCCACAUGCACCACGUUCGUGACCGGGAGAUGCCUGAAGCUUUGGAGUUUAACCUUUCUGCCAAUCCAGAGGCAAGCACAAUAUUACAGAGGAACUCUCAAACAGAUGCUUUGGAGUUUAACCCUUCUGCCAAUCCAGAGGCAAGCACAAUAUUCCAGAGGAACUCUCAAACAGAUGUUGUAGAAAUAAGAAGAAGCAACUGUACAAACCAUGUAUCUACUGAGCGUUUCAGUCAACAAUACAGCUCGUGUUCGACAAUAUUCCUUGAUGACAGCACAGCCAGCCAGCAUUAUCUUACAAUGACAAUAAUAUCUGUGACCUUGGAGAUACCUCAUCAUAUCACACAAAGAGAUGCAGAUAGAUCUUUGAGCAUACCUGAUGAACAGUUAACUCAUUUGCGGUUUCCACCGUGCACAUUACGAAGAACAGAAAUGGAGGUGGGAGUUUAAAUAACUAUUCCUCCUCCAUUCCAUCGACUCCCAGCACCAGCCAGGAGGACCCUCAGUUCAGUGUUCCUCCCACUGCCAACACACCCACCCCCGUUUGCAAGCGGUCCAUGUGCUGGUCCAACCUGUUUACAUCUGAGAAAGGGAGUCACCCAGACAAAGAGAGGAAAGCCCCGGAGAAUCAUGCUGACACCAUCGGGAGCAGCAGAGCCAUCCCCAUUAAACAGGGCAUGCUCUUAAAGCGAAGUGGGAAAUGGCUGAAGACAUGGAAAAAGAAAUACGUCACCCUGUGUUCCAAUGGCGUGCUCACCUAUUAUUCAAGCUUAGGUGAUUAUAUGAAGAAUAUUCAUAAAAAAGAGAUUGACCUUCGGACAUCUACCAUCAAAGUCCCAGGAAAGUGGCCAUCCCUAGCCACAUCGGCCUCUGCACCCAUCUCCAGCUCUAAAAGCAAUGGCCUAUCCAAGGACAUGGACACCGGGCUGGGUGACUCCAUAUGCUUCAGCCCCAGUAUCUCCAGCACCACCAGCCCCAAGCUCAACCUGCCCCCUUCUCCUCAUGCCAAUAAAAAGAAACACCUAAA